GACGAACGCUGGCGGCGUGCCUAAUACAUGCAAGUUGAGCGCUGAAGGUUGGUACUUGUACCGACUGGAUGAGCAGCGAACGGGUGAGUAACGCGUGGGGAAUCUGCCUUUGAGCGGGGGACAACAUUUGGAAACGAAUGCUAAUACCGCAUAAAAACUUUAAACACAAGUUUUAAGUUUGAAAGAUGCAAUUGCAUCACUCAAAGAUGAUCCCGCGUUGUAUUAGCUAGUUGGGGAGGUAAAGGCUCACCAAGGCGAUGAUACAUAGCCGACCGGUGGGGGUGAUCGGCAUCAUUGGGACGGGGACACGGCCCAAACGCCUACGGGAGGCAGCAGUAGGGAAUCUUCGGCAAUGGAAGAAAGUCUGACCGAGCAACGCCGCGUGAGUGAAGAAGGUUUUCGGAUCGUAAAACUCUGUUGGUAGAGAAGAACGGUGGUGAGAGUGGAAAGCUCAUCAAGUGACGGUAACUACCCAGAAAAGGACGGCUAACUACGUGCCAGCAGCCGCCGUAA
rnacentral:rRNA from 1 species